rnacentral:rRNA from 1 species
UACAGAGGGGGCAAGCGUUGUUCGGAAUUACUGGGCGUAAAGGGCGCGUAGGCGGCCUUCUAAGUCGAACGUGAAAUCCCCGGGCUCAACCCGGGAACUGCGUCCGAUACUGGAAGGCUUGAAUCCGGGAGAGGGAUGUGGAAUUCCAGGUGUAGCGGUGAAAUGCGUAGAUAUCGGGAGGAACACCAGUGGCGAAGGCGGCUUUCUGGUCUGCUCUUGACGCUGAGGCGCGAAAGCUAGGGUAGCAAACGGG